GUAGACACUUUACAUCAACUGUUCUUAGUAAAAGAAUCUCAUUUGUCAUGAAUUUGAUCAAAUUUUCUUUCUUGGUUUUAGUUUUACUUUUGAUUCAAGAUAUAGGUGUUGUAGAUGCCAAAAGUCCAUUAAAAAAGAUUCUCAAGAAAUGGAAAAAAAUAAAAAAGGCCUUCAAGAAGAUAACGGACUAAAAUAUUUGCUUCCGAUAUUAAGAUAGAGAUAUCAUCCAUUUUCAUAAGUUUGCUGUUUUUAUUGAAUUUUUACUAAAAAGUUAACAUAUGCAAAGAAAAACUGAAAUAAAUAAAAGCUAUCCUAUUAAAA